ensembl:lncRNA
AGGUAAGUUAGAAAGAAAGAAAGUAUGUAAGGUAAGUAAGUUAGAAGAAAGAAAGAAAGAAAGAAAGAAAGAAAGAAAGUAUGUAAGGUAAGUAAGUUAGAAAGAAAGAAAGUAUGUAAGGUAAGUAAGUUAGAAAGAAAGAAAGAAAGAAAGAAAAAGUAUGUUAAGGUAAGUAAGUUAGAAAGAAAGAAAUUAAGUAAGGUAAGUAAGUUAGAAGAAAGAAGUAAGUAAGUAAGUAAGGUAAGUAAGUAGGCAAGUUAAAAAGUAAGUAAGUAAGUAAGGGAAGUACGUUAGAAAGAAGUAUGUAAGUAAGGUAAGUAAGUUAGAAAGAAAGAAAGAAAGUAAGGUAAGUAAGUUAGAAAGAAAGUAAGUAAGUAAGUAAGUAAGGUAAGUAAGUAGAAAGAAAGAAAGUAAG